ensembl:lncRNA
AGUAGCAAGAGAAGCUACGCAAUGAGAAGCCUGCGCAUUGCAACAAGGAGUAGCUUUCGAUCGUUGCAACUAGAGAAGGCUGUGGGCAGCAGUGAAGACCCAGCAUAACCAAAAAAAAAGGGUAUAGACAACCGGACCUGACUGGUCACUGUCCGUGUGGCCCUUGAUCACCCCUGAGCAGCCAGGGUGUCAGGUGUCUCCCUGAGAAGUCAUUUGCCUCCUCUCCACAGUCCUCUUGAGAAGAAAGUCAUGAAGCACAACCUACACUUAAGGAAUUGUGCUUCCCCUUUUUAAUUUUUAAGGUCAUAAAAUGGUAUAAAAAUCCAAUUUUAAAUCAGUUGACAUGGAGGCAAAACAAAAAGCCAUUGUUAACAGCCUCUUGCGUUUCCUUCCUGGAAUUUUUUUCAAGGCAUUUUCAAGUCACUAUUUUCAUCUCCACCCUGCCACCCACUCCUCACCUUUUUUUUUUUUUUUCCUUUUUAAAAGGGGGGAUCAUAUUUGACUUCACGGAAUCUAUCAUUUUGAAAUCAUGCCACUAAAGAAGAUAAAGCAACGUGACUGUUUAAUAACAUGAUCUGACCUGUGGAGCAUUUCAAAAGCACCUGAAGCUUUUUCAGCAAACACUGCCUCCCUUUUCAUUUCCUCUAUCAGCGCUGAAAAUAGUUGGAGUUUUUUUUUUUUCUCUCUCUUAAUUCCAUGCAUUAAAAAAAAGAGAUUCUUCUCGACAGAAGGUGUUAAUUCAGGCACUAAAUCUGGAACAUUCUAAUCACUGUGAAGUUUUGUGUGUCUCAUCUUUGGCAGAAAACGUGUGAAGAUGAGAGCUUAUUCCUUACACCUUACAGCUCCUGAAGCGGCUCUGCAGAAGCUCAUCACUUACACCCUCCCACACUUGAGUCACCUCCCACCUCCUGACCUCGUGUUCCCAGCUUCAGGGUUUCCAGAAGCCCACCUAGUUCCCUCUCAUCUUGCAGGAGGGGCUGCCUUAGCUGAUGCACCCCAAAUCUGCCUUCUCCUCCCAAGCGUCUCCCCUGUACAAUUUUGAACUGCAGAAGUCACAAGUGAAUUCCUCUGUAUUCGUUUCCUGUGGCUGCUUUAACGAACCACCACCAACUUACACACAAAUUCACUCUUCCACUGUUCUGGAUAUCAAGAGGCUGAAGUCAGGAAGUCCUAAGCGGAAGGUGCUGGCGGAACUGGCCCCUUCUGCAGGCUGGUGGAGGGGGGUCCCCUUCCUUGCCCUCUUGCAGCUUCUGGUGGCUGCCCGCAUUCCUUGGCUGGGGGCCACCUUCCAUUUUCAGAGUGCAUCGCACAGAGCUCUGCUCCCACUGUCAUGCCCCCCCCCACUCUGACCCCCCCUGCUUCCCUUUCAUAAGGACCCUGUGAUCACAUUGACCUCACCUGGAUGACCAGGAGACGCCUCAUCUCAAGGGCUUUAACUGAACACACCUGCCAAGCCCUUCUGGCCUCAUAAGGCAAUGUGACAGGGAAAAGCAGAAACCAGUGGAAGGAAGUCACGCUGAUGAUCUAUUUCUAAACACCUCCCCGUUGGUGACUCAGCACAGACAUCUCUUCAGCAAGCCCCAACUCCAUGGGCUAGCACAGGGAGUGGGCUUCUCCUGUUGUGACUCAGAAGUUUCAGCAUGAGGACUUACUGCUCCAAGGCAUGGGGGAAUCUUAGUUCCCAACCAGGGAUCAAACCCAGGUCUCCUGCAUUGGAAGAUGGGUUCUUAACAGUGGACCACCAGGGAAGUCCCUCUGCAGGUUAUUUAAUCUCACUUUUCUUUUUUUUUUUUUUUGGAAAAACAGGGUUAAUAGUAGUAGCUGCCUCAUAGGGUUGUUGUGAGAAUUAAAACAGUUAAUAUUAUAUAAAGUGCUUACAGAGAGCUGGGUAUGUUGGAAAUGCUUCAUAUAGGAAUAGUCAUCAUCAUCAUCAUCCAUCUCAGUACUGGUAUCUGCAGCUGGGCAAUCAAACAGAAGGAGAUAAUAAAUGGGCUUUUAAAAAGCUAAAUAGGGAAUUUCUUGGUGGUCCAGUGGUUAUGACUCUUUGUGACCCCAUGGACUGUAGUCUGCCAUGCUCCUCUGUCCAUGGGAUUUCCCAGGCAAGAAUAUUGGAGCAGUUUGCCAUUUUCUCCUCGAGGGGAUCUUCCUGACCCAGGGAUCGGACCCACAUCUCUCCCAUCUCCUGUAUUGUCAGACGGCUUCUUUACCACUAGUGCCACCUGGGAAGCCCAAGUCCGGGCAUGUGGGUUCAAGUCCCGGCACGUGGGUUUGAGUCCCAGUCUGAGUUACACAUCUUCAAACACGACCAAUUUUUAUCUUAUGUGCACUGUACCACAAUUUUUUUAAAAAGUAAACAUUAAACAGCCUCUUUCAGAGCCAUCUGCCAAAAA